UGAGACCCGCCCGGCGCGCCCUCGCGGGAGAAGGCCCGGGCGCUGCGAACCGGGCGGAGGCGUUGGAGUCCACUGAUGAGACAGGCUUUGUCUCCUCACGUUUCAGUCAGACCCGUCGCAGAGUUCUCAGAACUCCCCUCAGAGGAGCGUAAAGUUAGAGAACUGCAGACUGGUUUUCCUCUCAGCCGGGGAGGGGGAGGCAGCCACCCGGCCUCGGGUGCAGACGGGAACUUGGCGGAGGGUUGUCUGGUGAAAGGCGAUUCCAGGCACCCAGGGGUGGGGGCUUCCCUUUCCCAAGUUAGAAGAAGCGGGAAGAAAGGGACUGCGGAGUGGGGGCGGGGGCGGCCCGGGCGAGCAGCCUCCUCAGCGAACUGGGCAGUUUCACGCGGGAUCUGCGGCGAGACCGCGGGGCACGCCCUCGCCGCGGGCGCCGUCAGAGCCAGGCUGGGACCGGGGAGAAGCCCUAAGUUGACCUGAGGAGACAGCCUUCUGCUACACUGAAGGAGAAGAAGGCUCCGAGGGUGAGCAGAGCGGCAGAACCGGGGCUGGAACACAGCUCCCUGGCCCGCCACCAGGCUCCCUUCUUUUCACCAAGUUGGCAGCCGGGAGGAGAGUUGCUCCGCGGCAUGUGAGAUCUUCCUGGAGCUGGGAUCGAACCCGUGACCUCUGCACUGGCAGGCGGAUUCUUAACCACUGCGCCGCCUAGGAAGCCCAAGAAUGUAUUUUAAAAGAUCAAGAACAGCAAGAAGUUUGCCAUCUGGGAAUGUGUUAAAGCUUGAGACAAUUCUCUCCCACUUUACCUAUCAAGGAGAAUACUUUUUAAAUGUGAAAAAAAGGAGGGGAUGCCUGAAAGACCACAGGAUCACAACAGAGAGAGUCUGUGAAGAGAUGGCCUGCUGAGACCCAAAUCAUGGUGAAGUGCAGUUGAGAAAUGCCUGCUAGUGAACUGGGAGAGGAAUAAAUGGUCUGAGGAACCCUACAAGGAAAUGAAACACCCUGCAAGGGUGAAAGACCAAGAGUCAGCUUUGACACCUGCCAAACCAGAAAGCAAUCAAUGAUGGCAGCUCACAAAAGUAAAAGCAUGCAGGAGCUUUCCUGUGCCCUCUCAUCUCCUCUCUCCACUAUCUUAAAACCUGGUGUGGUCAGAAGCAGUGCUAAUUAGCAUUUGAGGAGAGGAAGAAGACAAGCUGGGAAAACAGAGUAUCUAUCCAAGUCAUAUUAUACACUACUUGGCUGCCUUCUGUUGCAUGGCUGAUUAGUAUACAGCACAGCUGAAGAAGGAGAAGCCAUCUUGCCUCCAUGAUUGGACAAGCAUGAAGAUAAAAGCUUCCCUGUGUCUAUGAUAGAGCAGAAUGAUAGAAGGGGCCCAGACUCCCUUCCUUCAAACUUCUUGAUAUGUGAGGAAAAUAAAAUGCUGUUACCAGGUUAAACUACAGAGCUGGGCUUCUACUUCAUUCAGCGAAAUACAGCACAAUUCAGAUAAUGUCCAUUAAAUUGGAAAAAGUGUCCACUUUAAAGGAUUAAUCUGAGGGACCCACAGAUACAUUACACAAUCAAAUCUCAGAAAAAAUGAGAGUUUUUAAAAUUCAUUGUGAUUUUGAAAUUGUUCUUUCACAGUCUUUUGGUUAUCAAACUAUUAAAUACAUU